UGAGGAAUAUUGGUCAAUGGGCGAGAGCCUGAACCAGCCAAGUAGCGUUCAGGAUGUCGGCCCUAUGGGUUGUAAACUGCUUUUAUGAGGGGAUAAAGUGCGUGACGUGUCAUGCAUUGCAGGUACCACAUGAAUCAGGACCGGCUAAUUCCGUGCCAGCAGCCGCGGUAAUACGGAAGGUCUUGGCGUUAUUCGGGUUUAUUGUGUUUAAAGGGAGCGUAGGCUGUCUAUUAAGCGUGAUGUGAAAUUUACCGGCUCAACCGGUGACUUACAGCGAGAACUGGUCGACUUGAGUAUAGAGUAGGUAGGCGGAAUUCAUGGUGUAGCGGGGAAAUGCUUAGAUAUCAUGACGAACUCCGAUUGCGCAGGCAGCUUACUGUAGCAUAACAUACGCUGAUGCUCCAAAGAGCGAUUAUUAAACAGG
rnacentral:rRNA from 1 species